CAAGUGCACUCUCUGGACUGAACUGUGGUAUGGGGAAAAAUUGACUCUUGGUAGAACCACAGCUGAGAAAAGCAGGGAUAUUUUUUGUGUGGAAGAGAAUAUGGUAGGCAGGGGGAAAAAAAAUGUGUGUUACUCUGUCUCUGUGGAUAUGCCUGGAAGGGCUGGGUCAAGCAAAGAUAUUAUGGAAAAGAUUCUUAUGUUGGUGAGAAUUUGAACUGAAAGACCUUUAAGCUCUUUCAGACUUGGAGUUAUAGAAUUUGCAUCUGCUUUCCAGUCACCCAAUGGGAACUUUGUACCAGCUAACAUACGUAUGUAAAUACGGAAACCUCUGUGGUUCAUCUCAGACCAGGAAGGCUGCCUUUUUCAUAUAUAUAUAU